rnacentral:rRNA from 1 species
CGUACGUACUGUCUGUCGAUGCAGUCGAGCGGAACGACAACAUUGACCCUUCGGGUGAUUUGUUGGGCGUCGAGCGGCGGACGGGUGAGUAAUGCCUGGGAAAUUGCCCUGAUGUGGGGGAUAACCAUUGGAAACGAUGGCUAAUACCGCAUAACGUCUACGGACCAAAGAGGGGGACCUUCGGGCCUCUCGCUUCAGGAUAUGCCCAGGUGGGAUUAGCUAGUUGGUGAGGUAAUGGCUCACCAAGGCGACGAUCCCUAGCUGGUCUGAGAGGAUGAUCAGCCACACUGGAACUGAGACACGGUCCAGACUCCUACGGGAGGCAGCAGUGGGGAAUAUUGCACAAUGGGCGCAAGCCUGAUGCAGCCAUGCCGCGUGUAUGAAGAAGGCCUUCGGGUUGUAAAGUACUUUCAGUCGUGAGGAAGGCGUUGAAGUUAAUAGCUUCAUCGUUUGACGUUAGCGACAGAAGAAGCACCGGCUAACUCCGUGCCAGCAGCCGCGGUAAUACGGAGGGUGCGAGCGUUAAUCGGAAUUACUGGGCGUAAAGCGCAUGCAGGUGGUUUGUUAAGUCAGAUGUGAAAGCCCGGGGCUCAACCUCGGAACCGCAUUUGAAACUGGCAGGCUAGAGUACUGUAGAGGGGGGUAGAAUUUCAG